rnacentral:rRNA from 1 species
CGGGGUUCAGGUUGCGUUCGUGCGUAUGAUGCUGGUCUCAUCGUAGCACGGGACCAUCCUGGUGGCGAGUGGCGAACGGGUGAGUAAUACAUCGGAACGUGCCCUGUCGUGGGGGAUAACUAGUCGAAAGAUUAGCUAAUACCGCAUACGACCUGAGGGUGAAAGCGGGGGACCGUAAGGCCUCGCGCGAUAGGAGCGGCCGAUGUCUGAUUAGCUAGUUGGUGGGGUAAAGGCCCACCAAGGCGACGAUCAGUAGCUGGUCUGAGAGGACGAUCAGCCACACUGGGACUGAGACACGGCCCAGACUCCUACGGGAGGCAGCAGUGGGGAAUUUUGGACAAUGGGGGCAACCCUGAUCCAGCAAUGCCGCGUGUGUGAAGAAGGCCUUCGGGUUGUAAAGCACUUUUGUCCGGAAAGAAAUCCCCUGCUCUAAUACAGCGGGGGGAUGACGGUACCGGAAGAAUAAGCACCGGCUAACUACGUGCCAGCAGCCGCGGUAAUACGUAGGGUGCGAGCGUUAAUCGGAAUUACUGGGCGUAAAGCGUGCGCAGGCGGUUUUGUAAGACAGGCGUGAAAUCCCCGAGCUCAACUUGGGAAUGGCGCUUGUGACUGCAAGGCUAGAGUAUGUCAGAGGGGGGUAGAAUUCCACGUGUAGCAGUGAAAUGCGUAGAGAUGUGGAGGAAUACCGAUGGCGAAGGCAGCCCCCUGGGACGUCACUGACGCUCAUGCACGAAAGCGUGGGGAGCAAACAGGAUUAGAUACCCUGGUAGUCCACGCCCUAAACGAUGUCAACUAGUUGUUGGGGAUUCAUUUCUUCAGUAACGUAACUAACGCGUGAAGUUGACCGCCUGGGGAGUACGGUCGCAAGAUUAAACUCAAAGGAAUUGACGGGGACCCGCACAAGCGGUGGAUGAUGUGGAUUAAUUCCAUGCACGCGAAAAACCUUACCUACCCUUGACAUGCCACUAACGAACCAUGAUGCUUCCGUGCCCGAAAGGGAAAGUGGACACAGGUGCUGCAUGGCUGUCGUCAGCCUCUGGUCGUGAGAUGUUGGGGUUAAUUCCCGCAACGAGCGCACCCUUGGCUUUAGUUGCUACCCAAGAGCAUCCUGAAAAAUGCCGGUGAACAAACGGGAGGAAG